rnacentral:rRNA from 1 species
AACAAGGUCUCCGUUGGUGAACCAGCGGAGGGAUCAUUACAGAGUUGAAAAACUCCAACCCCUGUGAACCUACCUUUACUGUUGCUUCGGCGGACGAUGGCCCCAGGGCCGGACGCCGCCGGAGGUUACAAACCCUGAAUUUUUAGUGUAUCUCUGAGCACAAAAACAAAUAAUUAAAACUUUCAACAACGGAUCUCUUGGUUCUGGCAUCGAUGAAGAACGCAGCGAAAUGCGAUAAGUAAUGUGAAUUGCAGAAUUCAGUGAAUCAUCGAAUCUUUGAACGCACAUUGCGCCCGCCGGUAUUCCGGCGGGCAUGCCUGUCCGAGCGUCAUUUCACCACUCAAGCCCAGCUUGGUGUUGGGGCACCCGGCCGCCCGGCGGUCGGGGCCCCCAAGAACAUCGGCGGUCUCGCUGGGACCCUGAACGCAGUAACUCGCGGUAAAACGCGCUUCGUUCGGAGGCUUUUCCCGGCGGGCUCCAGCCGCUAAAACCCCCUAAAAUUCUUAGGUUGACCUCGGAUCAGGUAGGAAUACCCGCUGAACUUAAGCAUA